GUCCAGUUCAGGAAAAACCUUAGGAAUGGUGGGUCGUCCUGGCAGGAGGGUGACCGAGGUGGGGUGGGGUUGGCAAGUGGGAUGUGCUUGUGAGGCUGAGGACUGGGUUGUGAUCAUCAGCCUUAGGGCACUGAGACCCCAGAAGCCUGAGCAAGGGCUGCAGUCAGCCCCGCCCCCGCCUUCAAGUCAGACUGGAAGGAGACCAGGGAGCCUGGGUUCCUCCCUGCCUUGCCCCUCCCUCCCUGCCUCCUGCUGAACUCUUCCUGCCCGGGCUCUGAACGUAUCCCUCAGCUGCAGAGCUGACGUCUGGGUAACAGUGAAACGGGGUAUUCAUUUGUACAAAAGAAAAAGGAAAAAAAAAACCUGACAGUGUGUGGAUUUUUUGUGUGCCUGUUUAUUCGUAGGAUUGAGAAAGGGUGAGGCUAAAGUUCCAAGCCUUCGUGAAGCAAUGGAGAAAGUGCCGUCCCGAGGUUCAGUUCCACACGGCGCUGUAAGGCUGAAGGGGCUCACUGCAAGUUCCCCUCACAGGACACCACCUCACCUGAAACCCUCUUUUUCUGCUACCAUCCAGGGGACAAGAUCUCCUGAGUUUGUCCAAGACUCACUCCGGAAAACCCUCAGGCAGUUACUGAGGGACUCUGGCCCGGACCGGGAAGUGUUUUUCUCAGUGACACCUCUAGAGGGCAGCACUCAACGGAGUCCCAGAGACAUCUCCCUGCAUUUCCUCCUCAGACGCUGGGUGGAUGAUCUAGUAAUACUGAGGAAUGCUUGGACGUUCUCCUGGAAGCUCCUGAUUUUAAUCACCUGUUUACUUGUCUCCAUUCUUAUAGAUAUAUAGGCUACCCGAGGGCAGAGACUGAGUCUGUCUUGUUCACUCUCAACCUCCAGAACCUCACACAGAAUCUGGCACUUAGUAGGUGCACAACAAAAUAAUCAUUGAAUUAAUAUUCUGAGUCUUUAUCAGGUGGUGAUGAACAUGAAAAUCCACACCCAGGACUAAAAUGAAGGCAGAUCUGGAACCCACCUAGGUGAAGGCCCUGAGAACCCAAGAUGCCUACUUCCACUUCACCUUCCACCAUGCCUGGAAUGGAAGGAGCUGGCAUUUGUUCAAUGUCAGUCACACACUGGCCAUUCUUACAAAUUUAUCUUCAUUUUAUUCUACAAAAAUCACCUAAGACUGUGAAACCCAAUACUUUAAAAAUAAGAUAUAAAAGAAUAAAAGAUACCAGAGAGCAUGACAUGUUGAAGGCCUGCUUGGGAGGUGGAACAUAGCAGAGUAUCAGAGAAUGAAAACCGAGUCUACCGGGACAGACCAUAAAUAAUUGUAUCAUGAGUUUGAAUGGAAACACACAAGACUCAUUGAAAGCAGGCAUUCCAGUGCCAGGACUUAGGAACAGUGGGAUUUUCUCUCCAAACCCCCAGCUCUGUUAUAAAAUAUUAAGAUUCUUCCUGCAAACUUUCGUGGUCGUCAAGGUCACCUUGCUUUAUAAAACUAAAAGCUCUACAGACUUAGAUUAACCUGCAAGUUCUACACAGUGGCUCACAGAAGAUUUUGCCUGCCCUUUGGAGCACAAUAACCUUAAAGUAAUAUUGAAAAGUCAGUGGCGUCAACACUUGGCAACAAAUCACAAAGCACUUCCGGAAGCAAGCACGAAUGUGUGUGAUAUCUACCAUCAAGCUGUAAAUUACAAUUGUGUUUGGUGGAUAUUGGUGGCUCUUUCCUCAGCAGGAGAUGGAGGUUUGGAGAAACAACUGCAGACGUGGAACUGUGCAGAUACAUGUCCCUUUCACUGGUCAUUGGGAAUCCCAGGUCUGUGAUCUUGCCAAAUUUUCAUUCGCAACAAUGGUGUAUUGACUACUUGUCUAGAAAAAGCAACUUUGGCACAAACACCUAUGUUUCCUCUGGCACUGCUCAUAUUCUCAGAUUAUCUAAAAUGGCACCAUCACUUUUUUUUUUUUUACCUUAGAUCAUUAACUUUUUUCCUAUUAUUAUAUACUCAUGCCCUAGUUUUAUAAAUUCUUCAUUUUUACAUUUCUGUAAUGAUCGUGAACGUUAUCAGAAACAAAAUGAAGUUACUAAUGUUAAGAAAACCUUGACAAACAGAGCUGAAAAAGCCAGGAAGAGAAGGUUUUCAUUCUUUUAUGUCAGAUAAGAAAAAAGUUACAAAAAACAUAAUCUUGCACAAAGGUUAUCACAGCAUUAUACAAAAAACUUCUGCAAGGACAUCUGACCAGCAGCUGCCAGUUCAAACUUGGCCUGACGUCACCCUUGUUAUUGAUGUUUGUAGUGAAUGAUAAGUAUUUUUAAAAUUUAUUUAAUCCUUUUCAUUGUUUUCUUAAAAAACCUUUGUCUUCCUUUAUCUCCCUAAGUAUAUAUGCGGUUUGCUAUGUAAUUUACCCAUUACAAAACUUUAUUCCCAAAUAAAUAUCUUUUAUUUUAGA